CUAAUGUCAAUAAACCGGAUAUUAGAUUGAUUCGGUUGGAAGGGGAAAAGAUCAAUUUCUCUCUCUUCUCUCUCUUCAAUUAUUCAGAGAGAGGAACACGAUCUUUGUUUCUCCAUCCGGUUUGUUUACUAGUUUUGUCUCUGGUAUGGUUCAGCUUUGUCUCCGGCGAGGUCCGGCUUUGUUUCGGCUAUCUGUUGCCGCUUUUUGUUUUUUCUGUUGAAUAAAUUAUGCGAUCUAUGUUAGUGUUGUGGUUUUAGGUGAUUCGUCUUUGCCUAAACACAAUUCUCUCCAACAUAAGAUUGAUGAAUAUGAUGCUUGAGUUCGUGAACCGUUGACGUUUAAUUGGGAAGAUUUUGAAGUUGAAUUUCCAUGAAGUUGAAGAUUUGUUUUUAGAGCUUUGGAAUUGACAAUUGCUAUCACCGGAUUCAACAUGCAUAUCGCGGCGUUCUGGGUUUCAAUGGAGUCGACAAUCUUCUUCGGCGGCGACCAGUGAUUCUCCGAUCUUCUUCUUCUCACGUGUCUUCAGCACCUAACCUUUUCAUGACACGUGUUUUAGGUUCUGUUUCAAUGAUUCUUCUUUCUUCCUGAUGCGGUUUCCUACUUGGGCUUCAUAGUUGGGCUUGAAAAGUCUUACACUUAUGUUUAGUUGAAUUUGGCUCUGUUGUUUGUCUCAAACUUUGGCUUAUGUUGAUAUAACAAAAUGGACACUCUUGUGAC
rnacentral:sRNA from 1 species